GGGCCGCUAGCUCAGUUGGUAGAGCAACUGACUCUUAAUCAGUGGGUCGGGGGUUCGAAUCCCCCGCGGCCCACCA
rnacentral:tRNA from 1 species